GGGCUGGGCAAGACCGGUGCCAGCCGCCGCGGUAAUACCGGCAGCCCGAGUGAUGGCCGAUAUUUAUUGGGCUAAAGCGUCCGUAGCUGGCCGGACAAGUCCGUUGGGAAAUCUGUUCGCUUAACGAGCAGGCGUCCAGCGGAAACUGUUCGGCUUGGGACCGGAAGACCUGAGGGGUACGUCCGGGGUAGGAGUGAAAUCCUGUAAUCCUGGACGGACCACCGGUGGCGAAAGCGCCUCAGGAGGACGGAUCCGACAGUGAGGGACGAAAGCUAGGGUCUCGAACCGGAUUAGAUACCCGGGUAGUCCUAGCUGUAAACGAUGCCCGCUAGGUGUGGCGCAGGCUACGAGCCUGCGCUGUGCCGUAGGGAAGCCGAGAAGCGGGCCGCCUGGGAAGUACGUCUGCAAGGAUGAAACUUAAAGGAAUUGGCGGGGGAGCACUACAACCGGAGGAGCCUGCGGUUUAAUUGGACUCAACGCCGGACAUCUCACCAGCUCCGACAGUAGUAAUGACGGUCAGGUUGAUGACCUUACCCGAUGCUACUGAGAGGAGGUGCAUGGCCGCCGUCAGCUCGUACCGUGAGGCGUCCUGUUAAGUCAGGCAACGAGCGAGACCCGCACUCCUAAUUGCCAGCAGUACCCUUUGGGUAGCUGGGUACAUUAGGUGGACUGCCGCUGCUAAAGCGGAGGAAGGAACGGGCAACGGUAGGUCAGUAUGCCCCGAAUGAGCUGGGCAACACGCGGGCUACAAUGGUCGAGACAAUGGGAUGCAACUCCGAGAGGAGGCGCUAAUCUCCUAAACUCGAUCGUAGUUCGGAUUGAGGGCUGAAACUCGCCCUCAUGAAGCUGGAUUCGGUAGUAAUCGCG
rnacentral:rRNA from 1 species